rnacentral:rRNA from 2 species
UGCUUGACGACCAUAGAGCGUUGGAACCACCUGAUCCCAUCCCGAACUCAGUAGUGAAACGACGCAUCGCCGAUGGUAGUGUGGUGCUUCACCAUGUGAGAGUAGGUCAUCGUCAAGCUC